GACUAGGGUCGUUUUAGGGCUGUCACACGAUCCCAUCAGAACUCUGCAGUCAAGCGUGCUUGGGCGAUAGUAGUACUAGGAUAGGUGACCUCCGGGGAAGUCCUCGUGUUGCACUUA
rnacentral:rRNA from 1 species